GAUGGCGUCUUGCAUACCGGAUGAUUCUGUCUCUGUAAAGAAUGUGCUGUUAGCGUUGGUAUGCGCGCGUGCCAAGCGGAGGUCUGAAGAGCGAAGGCUAGAAAUGGAUAUCGAAGCGGCGGCGGACUUUGCGAGACAGACCGAGGGACAGCUGCCUGCAAAUAUGUUCGCGAUGGCUUCCGUAAUGUUCCACGGUGUACCCAGAUUUCGGCGGCAGCAAUGGGAAUUCGAGCGAAACGAGCGCUGGUUUGAAGAAACACUGCCAUAUUUAGGAGACAAGCACUUCAAGCAGGCUUUUCGCGUUUCCCCGGCCACAUUCAGGUACCUCUUGGAGUCUCUUCAAAGUCUCGAGCGCCAAGACACAAACAUGCGAAAUGCUAUUUCGCUUGAAAAGCGUGUGGCAGUCGGAUUGUACCGUCUCUGUUCAAGUGCAGAGGAUAGGACUACCGCACAUCUGUUCGCAAUAGGCCGUUCAACUGUGAACGCGAUUUUUAAGGACUUCUGUGAUGCUGUCAUCCUCCACCUUGAACAGCAAUGGAUCUGUAUGGUGCGCCGUAACGAAAUGGAAUCACACAUGCGAGAGUUCCACGCCGUCACUGGCUUCCCCCAAGCUAUCGGAGCUCUUGAUAUAUGGCUGCCACUUCCCUGUCUCUCCACCAAAGCUCCAUGCCACAGACUACUAUAACUAUAAAGGAUGGUACAGUAUCAUACUUCUGGCACUCGUAGAUCAUCAGUACAAAUUCAAGUACAUCAACGUUGAAAGUCCUGGAAGAUGUCAUGACGCCCAUGUUUAUGGGAGAUCAAGACUUCGUUCAUUGGUCGAUGGUGAUCACUUCCAGUCACCUGUCGUCACCAUAGAGGGAACCUUCAUUCCACCAAUUAUAUUGUGUGACCAGGCGUUCCCCCUCACGUCAAACUUGCUGAAGCCAUUUGCCAAUGCACCAAAAGGAACUCCGCAAGCAUCUUUCAAUGAUAACCUAUCGAAAACAAUUGUAGAAAAUGCUUUUGGGAGGGUCAAGGCCCGGUUCAGGCAUGUGAUGAAGAGGAUGGAGUGCAACACAACACUAGCAAAGCGUUCCAUCAGAACUGCUUGUACGCUGCACAACAUCUGUGAGACAUUAAGUGACACAGUUGAAGUUAAUGGGAACAAGACGCACACGCACUCGAUAUGCUGUACGCUCAGCCAUCUCGUGGUACCGAUGUGUGCCACGGUGGCGGGCAAGCAGUAAGAAAUGCCCUUGCCACAUACUUUUGGAAAAGGUACCAGUCAUAGGUACCAGUUCCAUCGAACUGAUCUCUCGAUGUUUCACUGAUAGUAGGGGACAGAGAGACACGGAACAAGAAGGACGGACGACAAAUCCUCAGACUCAACAAAAGGUUUAUUAAGACAAAAGGACGGAUUACUAAUCACAUUGCCACGUGAGAAUAUCUCAACGGACUGUCACAGUAACCUCCAUUGUUUAUCCCUUUCAACCACAAGUAAACUGGUGUCAUGGAACAACUGAGCACUCGGACAGAUGAACAACCAACUCUGAGAACACUCUUGUGAUGUCAAAAAACAAAAACAAAAAAAUAUGUACUCUGAGUUGGCAGUUCAUCUCAAAGAAUGCAGUGGGUGUGCCCUGUUGUUUCAUGAGACCAGUGUACUUGUGGUUGACAUGGAUAAAAGACUGAGGUUACUGUGAGAGUCUGUUGAGAUAGCCAUACGUGGCAAUGUGAUUAGUAAUCCAUCAUUCCGUCUUCUCGCUCCUCUGAGUCACCUCUUGGGUAUAUAGUUGGGUCCCUGCAAUAAACCUUUUGUUGAGUCUGAAAAUUUGUCUUCGGUCCUUCUUGUUCAGUGUCUCUCGGUCCCUUACCUUGAGUCUAUACCAAACUGCUUGAUGUAAAUAAAACUGUUUUGGAUACUGUUCA